UGUUCCCCUUUAGUAGCACGUGUUGGGUCGAGUAUCGCCUCGCUUUGUUGGUGGUUGCGAAUUUCGCUUUCCUUGAGGACCUAUGCUUUGUCUGUUUAGUAGAACUGAAUUUUUCAAUGUUAAGAUUGCGAGAGUUUGGUGUUGAUGACGGUUACAGAAUGGUUCAGGAAAUACUGCACAAUCUGGAACUUUUUUUGCUGUCUAAACAAACUAAGAUUUAAAUCAACUUUACCUUGGAGACACCACCAAUCUCACAUUGUACUUUACUUGCAAUGAGGAUUUGGUCAACCAAGAUAACUGUCCUUGUGGGGUUGUUGCCUUGUGAUGCAGUACAAAGGUUUUUAUCAGAUCUGAAAAUGGUUAGGGGUGAUUGACAACAAAUUCCCAACAGAAGGAAAGCUGAAAUGUGCUGUGGUUCAAGAGGAAAGUCAGUAAGGUAGCUCUGAAAGUGAGGAUGAACAGAAUAUUUUAUCAGCAUGAAGGUGAAGGAAAUCCAUAUAAAGCAUAAGAGUAUUCACUCUUUUAGGGGCAGAAUGAAAUCCAGUUCUAGUCUUUGGAUAUUUUUCUUCAUGAUCCUUAUUCAAACUUAUUCAUUAUUGUCCACUCUUAGUGUUAGAAAAUUGUUUUGAGGUUAGAAAAUAAAGAAUAUUUCUGAAAGA